rnacentral:rRNA from 1 species
AGUGAACGCUGGCGGUAGGCCUAACACAUGCAAGUCGAACGGCAGCACAGUAAGAGCUUGCUCUUACGGGUGGCGAGUGGCGGACGGGUGAGGAAUACAUCGGAAUCUACUUUUUCGUGGGGGAUAACGUAGGGAAACUUACGCUAAUACCGCAUACGACCUACGGGUGAAAGCAGGGGAUCUUCGGACCUUGCGCGAUUGAAUGAGCCGAUGUCGGAUUAGCUAGUUGGCGAGGUAAAGGCCCACCAAGGCGACGAUCCGUAGCUGGUCUGAGAGGAUGAUCGGCCACACUGGAACUGAGACACGGUCCAGACUCCUACGGGAGGCAGCAGUGGGGAAUCUUAGGCAAUGGGCGAAAGCCUGACGGAGCAAUGCCGCGUGAGUGAAGAAGGCCUUCGGAUCGUAAAGCUCUGUUAUUAGGAAAGAAAAAAUGCGGAAGAAUACAUGCCUGUCCUGACGGUACCUAAUGAAAAAGCAACGGCUAACUUCGUG